AGUGAACGCUGGCGGCAGGCCUAACACAUGCAAGUCGAACGGCAGCACAAGAGAGCUUGCUCUCUGGGUGGCGAGUGGCGGACGGGUGAGGAAUGCAUCGGAAUCUGCCCAUUUGUGGGGGAUAACCUCGGGAAACCGGGACUAAUACCGCAUACGACCUACGGGUGAAAGCAGGGGAUCUUCGGACCUUGCGCAGAUGGAUGAGCCGAUGCCGGAUUAGCUAGUUGGAGGGGUAAAGGCCCACCAAGGCGACGAUCCGUAGCUGGUCUGAGAGGAUGAUCAGCCACACUGGGACUGAGACACGGCCCAAACUCCUACGGGAGGCAGCAGUGGGGAAUAUUGGACAAUGGGCGCAAGCCUGAUCCAGCCAUGCCGCGUGUGUGAAGAAGGCCUUCGGGUUGUAAAGCACUUUUGUUGGGAAAGAAAAGCAGCCGGUUAAUACCCGGUUGUCAUGACGGUACCCAAAGAAUAAGCACCGGCUAACUUCGUG
rnacentral:rRNA from 1 species